rnacentral:lncRNA from 1 species
CCCUAGUCCUGGCCAGGUUAAGUAUCUUCAGUGAAGGUCGCAGGAUGCGGCAUGGUGAUCAAAGCACGGAUCGCGCUGUGUUCACUGUUUACAACCUUCUCUCCCCUUCCUGCCAGGCUGAUAACUGCCCCUUCCGCACAAGGAGAUUUGGACAACAAGGACUCAUGAAGGACAGCACAUGUCAAGGCUGGGGAGAAGAAGAGGAGCCAAGAAGGAGCAGCCAGGGAGUAUACAUUUGUGAUCCAGAAAUACAUUCAGCAUGAGGAACUGCUACCGAAGUAAGACAGCAAAUCAACAAUCUAAGUUUCUUCAUCAAGAAAUUAGAAAACAAAGACCAAAAUCAAACCAAAACAAGCCUGAGGAAGGAACUAAUGAAGGUAAGAGGAGAAAUCAAUGUGAUUGAAAACUAGAAAACGAGAGAAUCAAUGAAACAAAAACCUCUUGAAGAUUGACUGUUAGGAAGAAUUUAGCAUGCAAUUUGUUUAUCAAGGAGUGUCUUUGGGUCAACAUGGAUAGAAGGGAUGGGAAGUCUUUUUUUAUUUUUGUUUUUUUUCUGUUAACACUGAUCAAUCCUCCAAUACUGACACCAGCCACCUGGAGUUCACAUAGAUUCUACAAGUGCAAGGACUGUAUGUCACUAAAAGGAAAUACUUCAGAUGCCAGCCUCAAGAGGGUGCUCAGGUAGCCAUACUUCUGCCCUGAACACCCAAUGUAUUCCCACAACCUGCUCACAGGCUGGAUAUUUCCAGAUGACUUACAGUGCUCAGAAGAACAUUUUCCUUACUUACAUUUAUGAGUUUAUUUUAAAGAGUAGACCCCCAAAUAGAAGACCCAAUCAGGAAAUGGAAAAGUGGGACACUUCAAAGAAGCAGUACAAAUGGCCCAUAAAUCCAUGAAGAAAUGCUCAACAUCCCUGGUGAUAUUAGAGAAAUGCAGAUUAAAACAACACUGAGAUUCCAUCUUACUCCAGAGAGAAGGACUAUCUUCAAGAAAUCAAGGAAUGGCAAAUGCUGGUGAGGCUGUGAGCGAAAAUGAACCCCUCUACGUUGUUGGUGGGAAUGUGAACUGGUAUAACCACUCUGGAAGUCAGUAUGGAGAUUCCUCAAAAAGCAAACUAGAAAUUCUAUCUGACCCAGCUAUUCCCCUUCUAGUUAUCUUCCUGAGAGAGUUAAAGACAUCAUAUUACAGGGUCCAUGCACACCUAUGUUUAGAGUGGCACAAUUCAGAAUAGCUAAAUCUUGGAAGUAGCCUAUAUGUCCAUCAAUAGAUGAAUGGAUUAAAAAAAUGUAUUUACACACAAAUGGAGCACUACUCUGCCAUAAAGAAGGAUAAUCUCGAGUCAUUUGUAGGAAAAUGAAUACACCCUGAGAUCAUGAUGUUAAGUGAAGUAAACCAGACAUACAAUGGAAACAGUGAGGAAUUGGCAUGGAGCAUCCAUGUCCUCUCUAGGUGUGCCACCCUCCAGCACCUGCAUGUAUUUGAUAGCCUGGAAACUGACCAGAACUUGUUGCUCAAGAGUUUCCAGAGUGCUCAGUCUCCCUCCCUGCAGAUUGGUGGCUGGAGCUGAAAGAAAUAUCCUCAUCAGCUGUGUGUUAAGACCUGCUAUUCACCCCUUUGCAAUGGCUCUGAGACUCUUCUGUACCACGUUCUUCAACCUCAAUGCAGUUGGAGUUCUCUCUGAUAUCCCCAUCUUCCUUUUGGCUUAGUGGGUGUUCAGGCCCAUCUUUGCAGUUUAAUACAGUGACCAGGUGUGGGAUAAAUUCAGAGGCUUGGUGAGUUGUAUUCACCUACUCUCCCCUUAGUGAGCUCACAGUUUGCAUAGCCAUCUAUAGCCUCUACCAUGUCAACUGACUCUAUCCCAUCCCUGUGUACUCUCCUGCCAUUGGCAUCCCUGCACCCCUUUGUUUGUGUCCUUUCCCUCAUUGCUGUAGCUCAUCCUGCAGAUUGGAAGUCCCUGGUCAGUCACUGGCUGCCAGAAGUUGGCAUGUAAGUACCCAGCUCACUCCACCCUUAUUAACACGCUGGUGAACCCUGAUGUGGGUCUCCCAGAUUUCAACUAAGGACCUGCUGUUCCACCUGGUCUCUGCUACAGCAUGAUGCCUUCUCAGAAGUCAGGGUCCCUUCUGGUGCAGCUCACGAGUGUAAAGGAUGAUAGAGACCCUCCACGCUGGGUGCAUCUCUGAAGGACCAUUUUAGUUCCAGAGCUUCCCAUGGGGAAGUGUGUGUGUAUCCAUGUGUGUGUUGGGGGGAUUAAUUAAAGCUUUUGAUUUUAUGUAGCCUUGUAUG